rnacentral:lncRNA from 1 species
UCGUCCCUUGUUUGGAUGCGAAAACAAAGUAGAAUUAUGGAUUCUUAUGCCUAGCACAACAUCCCUUGCGCUAGACAAAAAAAAUUGACUUUUCAAAUUAGAUUUUAAGCUAUAUAGUUGUUCUAAUAUUGCCAAUUCAAUUCUUGGUUAAAAAAAUAAAUAAAAAUAUUGCCAAUUCUUGUUGAUGAAGAAAAGAGAAUUUCUAAAUUCC